UGUGUAGGCGGUUCUUUAAGUUUGGUGUGAAAUCUCCCGGCUCAACCGGGAGGGUGCGCCGAAUACUGAGGGACUAGAGUGUGGGAGAGGAAAGUGGUAUUCCUGGUGUAGCGGUGAAAUGCGUAGAUAUCAGGAGGAACACCGGUGGUGUAGACGGCUUUCUGGACCAUAACUGACGCUGAGACACGAAAGCGUGGGUAGCAAACAGGAUUAGAUACCCUGGUAGUCCACGCCCUAAACGAUGCAUAUUUGGUGUGGGUCAUUCAGUUGAUCCGUGCCGGAGCUAACGCGUUAAAUAUGCCGCCGUGGGGAGUACAGUCGCAAGGCUGAA
rnacentral:rRNA from 1 species